rnacentral:rRNA from 1 species
AUUGAACGCUGGCGGCAUGCUUUACACAUGCAAGUCGAACGGUAACAGGCCGCAAGGUGCUGACGAGUGGCGAACGGGUGAGUAAUGCAUCGGAACGUGCCCAGUCGUGGGGGAUAACGCAGCGAAAGCUGUGCUAAUACCGCAUACGAUCUGUGGAUGAAAGCGGGGGACCGUAAGGCCUCGCGCGAUUGGAGCGGCCGAUGUCAGAUUAGGUAGUUGGUGGGGUAAAGGCUCACCAAGCCGACGAUCUGUAGCUGGGCUGAGAGGACGACCAGCCACACUGGGACUGAGACACGGCCCAGACUCCUACGGGAGGCAGCAGUGGGGAAUUUUGGACAAUGGGCGCAAGCCUGAUCCAGCAAUGCCGCGUGCAGGAAGAAGGCCUUCGGGUUGUAAACUGCUUUUGUACGGAGCGAAAAGGCUCUCUCUAAUACAGGGGGCUCAUGACGGUACCGUAAGAAUAAGCACCGGCUAACUACGUGCCAGCAGCCGCCGCAGUAA